GUUCAAUCUAUAAAAGAAACAAUUAAACGGGUCAAAAAUUCAGACUUGAGUAAUAUAUUUUUUUUACACAAAAAUAAAGUCAACAAAAAUUCCGACUGAGCAACGGGUCAGAAUUUGAAUAUUUAUAUUCGAUUUCAUACAUUAAUUUUUUUGAAAUGUAUAAUUUUAUAUACUAAAAUAAAAAUUUAAAUAUUUUAAUUAGCAACAUUUAAAAUAAGUUUUACUUGAUAUUUUUAGAGAAUAUCAUCAAUACUUAAUAGUUCAAAAAGUUAAAAAU
rnacentral:lncRNA from 1 species